ACACCAAAACAACUCAGCCUGACUACACCAUCAGCAACAUUACAGUGGUCCAGUGGUGGGAUAUGCCAGCCAUCGCCGGAUUAUCAGUGACAGAUGUCACGGUGGCGUGGUCCAUCUCUCCCAUCAACGUUCGCUGCUGAGCCAUGGUUGCUCCACCUUUGGGUUUGACAAGUCAAAACAUCACCUGACCAUGUUUGGUAAUGCUGCCUCUGUAGAGAUGGGUCAUUCUGAGGAGGCAUCAUCGUGUAACGGUCUGAGGCAGCGCUAGCAGUGGCGGAUACAGAAAAAACGAGAAGAUACGGCAUCAUGGUGUGGGUGAGCCCUCGCUGAAACCACUCUGGGUUCUCUCUAUAUCGGUCAUCGUCUCAUGACCUAGGGGUCACCUUGGUGGUGCUCAGCAGCAGACGCCGGUGAGAACUACGAGGAGUAAGAGGACGAAAAGAAAAAGAUGGAGCAACAAGACUACAAAAGUGGAGUAGGUAGAGAUGUGGAGGAGCCAGAAACAUUGUGGCUUGGUUCUUUCUUGUGAGGUAGCUCUCACAAGGGAAGUAGGGGCACUUUUUAAGUACAUCGUGUGAUUGGUGACAUGGGAAACCAACGAGAAAAGCACACUUCUUGAGGUGAUGCUCCAAUAUCACAGGGUCUUGGGACCGCUCAACGAAUAGAAAUGAGAAUCUUCCUCCACUAGCAAGUGAGAACCGGAGGUGAAGAGGAAGAUGCAUAGAGGGAGAUUCAAAGGGGGAUAAUAUAGUCCAAGUGAGGAGGAAGAGGAGACCUGCUGUGGC